UCGAAAUGCCGAAGAAUGGGAGGAGAGGUUAGCAGACUACGGAGCGUGGCAAACGCGACGUCGCACUCAGGAGACAAGGAUGAAAGUCAGCGUCACCGCGUAGGAGAUGGAAGAUGUACCCUGUUCAGCAAAACUGACGCAGCUGUUUUAGACGUAACAAAGGGAUGGCUCAUGCUUUCUUCAGAUGAAGAAGGUGUGCCUAUGUGAUAAAGGCAUACCGCUAUUGCAGAUCACUCCAACGGAAGCUGAAACAAUGCUUUAGGAUCGCAAGAAUUGUGGAAGGAAUGAAAAAAAUGGCAUAGUUGCCUUGUAUAUGUGUCAAACCUGAA